GUCUACGGCCAUACCACCCUGAACGUGCCCGAUCUUGUCUGAUCUCAGAAGCUAAGCAGGGUUGGGCCUGGUUAGUACUUGGAUGGGAGAAAUAAAAGUCUCUUGGACU
ensembl:rRNA 5S_rRNA 5S ribosomal RNA